GAUGAACGCUGGCGGCGUGCCUAAUACAUGCAAGUCGAGCGAACAGACGAGAAGCUUGCUCCUCUGAUGUUAGCGCCGGACGGGUGAGUAACACGUGGAUAACCUACCUAUAAGACUGGGAUAACCUCGGGAAACCGGAGCUAAUACCGGAUGAUAUUUUGAACCGCAUGGUUCACAAGUGAAAGUCGGUCUUGCUGUCACUUAUAGAUGGAUCCGCGCUCCAUUAGCUAGUUGGUAAGGUAAGGGCUUACCAAGGCUACGAUGCAUAUCAGGCCUGAGAGGGAGGUUGACCAUCUUGGAAGUGAGAAAGGGUCCGGACUCCUGCAGGGAGAAGCAGUAGGGAAUCUUCCGGGAUGGCCGAGAGCGUGACGGAGCAACGCCGAGUGAGGGAUGAAGGUCUGCUGAUCGUUAAACUCUGUUAUUAGGGGAGGACUUAUUUGUAUGUAACUGUGCACAUAAUGACGGUACCUGAUCAAGAAGCCACGGCUAACUACGUG
rnacentral:rRNA from 1 species